ACCUUUCGAUGUCAUUGCCACGCGAGCUACUUUAAAAACCCGGCGACGUCAUGCACAACCUGGCUGCUGGAUUCAGCACGUAAAACGAUGCGACCUUUUCCUGCACCGUUACACGAAACACGGCUUCAAAGCAUUUAAACAGCUGUACAGCGCAUGUAGCGUGCUAAAUUCGCGGAUCUUCAAUGGCAGUUAGGAGAUCAGACUCUCUACACGAGCACAAAAAAUGCCGAGUCUGAGCCGGCUCAGAAAGUAAUAAUAAUCUGGACCUAAUCGCUCGAGCACACGCACCUCCACGCGUCUGCUUGGCGUUGGACGCCUAACUGACUUCUACUGGGGAGAAUAACGAGGCGCGUCGCUGCCCUGAACCCCUUCGGGGAAAUAUUAAUACUACGAAAUGGACCGCGGGCUACGUUUUGGCAAUGGAAAGCUGUACUUACGUGACAACUAUCAUCCAUGGAUUAUUUAUGUGCAUGUGAAACUAAAAAAGAAUCGAAUGGUUCGCGGCGUCCCGUUGUCUGAACAGAAAGCCUUUCACAUUACCUCUUGCCCUGACAAGGGGACCUUUAUCGUCCAAUUCAUACUCAGCCUCGAACUGUACGGCAGAAGAAAUUGUCGUAGUGUGUCAGGCUUAUCUGUGGGUAGACUUGUCUAAUCAAAACGUGCGUUUGAAAAAAAAGCAAGCCAACGAUCAGUGGGCAUUGUUGACAUAUAUUUUGAAGAUAUAUUGUACCAUCUACGAUCAGACCAACGCUGCAAGUUUUGAUUUUUAACUUUGCCCUCUUUCAACUCUAAUUAAAAAAGCGAGAAUCAUAAUCUAUAAGUUCUAUAUUAAUCAGCCAAAGUGUUUAAAUAGGCAAUUGAAUUGCGUCGUGAGAUCAGCUUAAGGUUUGUGAUUUCGUAUUUCUAC